CCUACGGGUGGCAGCAGUGGGGGAUAUUGCACAAUGGGGGAAACCCUGAUGCAGCAACGCCGCGUGUGGGAAGAAGGUUUUCGGAUUGUAAACCACUGUUCUUGGUGAAGAUAAUGACGGUAACCAAGGAGAAAGCUCCGGCUAACUACGUGCCAGCAGCCGCGGUAAUACGUAGGGAGCAAGCGUUGUCCGGAUUUACUGGGUUUAAAGGGUGCGCAGGCGGUCUGUUAAGUCAGCGGUCAAAGCCCGGGGCUCAACCCCGGCCCGCCGUUGAAACUGGCAGUCUCGAGUUGGAGAGAAGUAUGCGGAAUGCGCGGUGUAGCGGUGAAAUGCAUAGAUAUCGCGCAGAACUCCGAUUGCGAAGGCAGCAUGCCGGCUCCACACUGACGCUGAGGCACGAAAGCGUGGGUAUCGAACAGGAUUAGAUACCCGGGUAGUC
rnacentral:rRNA from 1 species